UUAACCCUAAUCCCCUUUAUUUCUUCUCCUCUCUUCUCCGUCUUCGACCUAAUGCCUCUCUCUCUGCGAAAAUUUCAUACCCAUGAAGGCGAAUAGCCGAGAAUUAGAAACUUCAAUCACUCAUCAUCAUCCUCUUCUCGUCUCUUCUUCAUACAACUCCUCUUCACUUCAAUUUUGAUGUAGAUAAUCAUCUCUUUAUUUGUCGAGUACAAAUCCUAAUCGGGAAUUCCAGUCUGAUAAUUGUAGGUCACAGAUCUCGUCCCGUAUAGAUUUCCUUAUCACAAGCUUCAUCGUCGGGUGUAGAUCUCAUGGCUAGCGAGACGAACGGCGGGUAACAAGUCUCCUGAGCACAGUUAUCGUCCGCCGUCGCAGUACCGUCACCGUCGCAGCGGCACCUCAUCCUUUUUGUCGAAACCCUAAUUGUAUAAUGGAUUUGGGCUUGUCAAUAGAUUAGAUUUAGGCUAUUAUCAGUAUUUUUAUUAGGCCCAUUAUUUUGUUAUCUAGGCCCGUUACUUUGUUGGGUAAGGUUUUGUUUAUCCAGCUUAAUUUUUUGUUAUUUUCAUCUAAUUCGGUUCGAAUUAACCGAAUUAAAAGUACAAUCGGUUAAUUUCGGAAUUGAUUUUUAA